rnacentral:rRNA from 1 species
GAUGAACGCUAGCGGCAGGCUUAACACAUGCAAGUCGAGGGGUAUAUGUCUUCGGAUAUAGAGACCGGCGCACGGGUGCGUAACGCGUAUGCAAUCUACCUUUCACAGAGGGAUAGCCCAGAGAAAUUUGGAUUAAUACCUCAUAGUAUAGUGAGUUGGCAUCAACACACUAUUAAAGUCACAACGGUGAAAGAUGAGCAUGCGUCCCAUUAGCUAGUUGGUAAGGUAACGGCUUACCAAGGCGACGAUGGGUAGGGGUCCUGAGAGGGAGAUCCCCCACACUGGUACUGAGACACGGACCAGACUCCUACGGGAGGCAGCAGUGAGGAAUAUUGGUCAAUGGGCGCAAGCCUGAACCAGCCAUGCCGCGUGCAGGAUGACGGUCCUAUGGAUUGUAAACUGCUUUUGUACGAGAAGAAACAACAUUACGUGUAAUGUCUUGACGGUAUCGUAAGAAUAAGGAUCGGCUAACUCCGUGCCAGCAGCCGCGGUAAUACGGAGGAUCCAAGCGUUAUCCGGAAUCAUUGGGUUUAAAGGGUCCGUAGGCGGUUUAGUAAGUCAGUGGUGAAAGCCCAUCGCUCAACGGUGGAACGGCCAUUGAUACUGCUGAACUUGAAUUAUUAGGAAGUAACUAGAAUAUGUAGUGUAGCGGUGAAAUGCUUAGAGAUUACAUGGAAUACCAAUUGCGAAGGCAGGUUACUACUAAUGGAUUGACGCUGAUGGACGAAAGCGUGGGUAGCGAACAGGAUUAGAUACCCUGGUAGUCCACGCCGUAAACGAUGGAUACUAGCUGUUGGAAGCAAUUUCAGUGGCUAAGCGAAAGUGAUAAGUAUCCCACCUGGGGAGUACGUUCGCAGAAUUAA